UGAUAUCUGGAAAGACAAAAGUUUUUUUAACAUUAUUUCUAUCCAAGAUAACAUAUAUUCCAUCGUUUCAUCUCUAUCUUGUAAUCGAUCCAUCUUUUCAUCUCAAUUUUCGAUUCGAUCAAUUUUACAGAAAACAUGGUAUAAUUAAAUUCAUUACUUCUUCAGUCCACCAAAUCUUGGGGAGAAAACUAUAAAAUCCAAAUAGGGGAAAAGCUGCGAUUACACGAAUCAGUUCAGUGUGUCUAUGGAGUUGAUGGUCCUAUCAAUCGGAUGAUUCAGUUUUGACCCAAGAGUUUAGCGAACCGAUUUAUCAAUUCAAUUGGGUUUGAUAUCAAAUGAGUUGUAUUUUCCUGUAGCCCAGUUAGUUACAAUAGAGUAAAAUUUCAUGAAGCCAGAAACAAUAAGGACAUGGUAUAACGUUUUUUGGCGGACGAGUUAAAUGAAAAGAGAAGCCUAUACAAAGAAGCCGAAGCAUAUAUAUAAAGACAUCAUAAUAUCCGUAAGAUAAGUAGUGUUUUUUCAAGUCAAUUCGAAGCAAACAAAUAAUUGUAUGAUGUUGCUUGCCGUAUGACGUUGAUCAACAUCACCUCCAUGAUGCCAUGUGAUAGGCACGACAGCGGCAGCCAUUGAAGAAGGCUUGAAAGAAUACAGAAAGGAGAAAGUAAAGAAGCCCAUAAAAGCCCAUUAUUCUGUGACGGAAACCGUUAAUAGAUCCGUCAAUAGUUCUGUUAAGAUAUCCAAUUCAAUAUUUCCGGGAUAAGAAGGGCUGAAGCGGACGUAUACCAUCUGACAAAACUUGUGUCAAGUUAAGUCGACUUUAACAAAAACAAAAAUGGGUCAGUUUGUAGCCUAAGAGUCUAAGACCUUCUCCAACGGGGGUUCAUAGAGGGAUUGUUAGUCUUUUGUUGGAAAAAAAUAAAUCAGAUAAAAAACAAAAUGAUGAGGGAGCCUCUUAUAUAGUAUAACCAAAUUUGUUCUAAGAUACCAUACGUGUCAUCGUUCUGUUGGCCAAACAAAAUACCCAAAUUUAAUUUCCUUAUUUUUCUUCUUCUUCUUCUCUCCCUCUCUUUCGCGAAAAUCUGCGAAAACAAAGAACGACAAUCGGACGAGAUCGAAUCGUUAUCUGAAGUUAUCGAGCGUUUUAUCAACAUCUCCACUGUGGCUGAGUCUCAUCGUGGACUAUGGUUCAGCUAAUCGGCGAGUCGGUUCAUUGAAAACCUUGAGUCUCCUUCACCAAAUCGAAGCAUUUCUAUCACCAAUUCGGAGAUUUGAAUCUACAAUAGUUUUUCACAUGAAGGAUCUCGUGUCCCAUUGCUGGCUGCCCUGAGCGCCUGAACUCUUUGGACCAUUCGAGUUCUUCAAGAGAACCCAACUCUCAAAGAAGCAAAGAGAGAAACAUCAGAGGCAACAUGUAUCAAAGCUGAAACACAAAGAAGAAGCUUCUUCAGAUGCUAUGGAAGUGGAAGACAAAGCCAUCGUUCUGUUUUGAAGAGAAACUGAAAGGGAAGCCAGGCUAUGAGCAUCUUAAUGCCACUUAUUUGACUCUCAUAUGCAAAAUCUAAAGGUUUAGUACCGUCUACAUUGGAAGUAGCAAAAUCAGAAGGUGGUUAAGUAGCAAGCAGAUUGAGGAAGAAGACUGGUGUCGAAAGCAAUACCAAACCUUUCCACGCGGUUCUUAUUGAUGCUUAAAUAUAUCUUUUAUGUCUCCAUUAAAACUGCAGGAAUAACGAUAUGGGACUGCUAUCACUCCCGUUGUUAUAUGGAGCAAAGAUAAAUGAUUUAAUCAUUGCUGGAGAAUGGUGGAGACUGGUCACACCCAUGUUUCUGGUACAAGACCAACAAAUUGGGUCUGUUCUCCCAUUCUUUACUGUUUUAAAAACACACUCAACCAAAACACAGCUUCGUUUAGAAACAAAACCAAAAUUUUUGGCACAAAUCAAUAUUGUGAUUAAUCUUUUCUGAAGCUGUAUAUAUGGAUGCAUAUGUAUCUCCUCUCGAGUGUUUUGGUUUCAUGAUGUAUCUAUCAUUCAAAAGCUGAUGUAUGAGAGAAAUAAAGUUAAUUCACGGUCUCAAAACAAAUACUGACAAUCUCCUCCUUGUAAAGUUCCAUUCAGAUCUUAUUAACUUCUUUUUGAUGAUA